rnacentral:rRNA from 1 species
GACGAACGCUGGCGGCGUGCCUAAUACAUGCAAGUAGAACGCUGAAGAGAGGAGCUUGCUCUUCUUGGAUGAGUUGCGAACGGGUGAGUAACGCGUAGGUAACCUGCCUUGUAGCGGGGGAUAACUAUUGGAAACGAUAGCUAAUACCGCAUAACAAUGGAUGACACAUGUCAUUUAUUUGAAAGGGGCAAUUGCUCCACUACAAGAUGGACCUGCGUUGUAUUAGCUAGUAGGUGAGGUAAUGGCUCACCUAGGCGACGAUACAUAGCCGACCUGAGAGGGUGAUCGGCCACACUGGGACUGGGACACGGCCCAGACUCCUAUGGGAGGCAGCAGUAGGGAAUCUUCGGCAAUGGGGGCAACCCUGACCGAGCAACGCCGCGUGAGUGAAGAAGGUUUUCGGAUCGUAAAGCUCUGUUGUAAGUCAAGAACGGGUGUGAGAGUGGAAAGUUCACACUGUGACGGUAGCUUACCAGAAAGGGACGGCUAACUACGUG